AGAGUUUGAUCCUGGCUCAGAUUGAACGCUGGCGGCAUGCUUUACACAUGCAAGUCGAACGGCAGCACAGGGAGCUUGCUCCCGGGUGGCGAGUGGCGCACGGGUGAGUAAUACAUCGGAACGUGUCCUGUUGUGGGGGAUAACUGCUCGAAAGGGUGGCUAAUACCGCAUGAGACCUGAGGGUGAAAGCGGGGGAUCGCAAGACCUCGCGCAAUUGGAGCGGCCGAUGCCCGAUUAGCUAGUUGGUGAGGUAAAGGCUCACCAAGGGCGACGAUCGGUAGCUGGUCUGAGAGGACGACCAGCCACACUGGGACUGAGACACGGGACCCAGACUCAGUACGGGAGGCA
rnacentral:rRNA from 1 species